rnacentral:lncRNA from 1 species
GUAUAUUUCCUUCUCUCUAUUUCUCUUCUUCGUUAAAUAAUUUUUGUUGUUUCAAUAUCGAACGGUUGUUGCCGUAGAAUUGAUAUUUGCAUAUCAAUUAUUGUUGUAUUUCUGGCCGAUACUACAGUGCAGUAGUUCAUCGGUAUUUAAUUGAAAACGGCUGUUUUAUCCUGGGGACUUCGCGGUUGAUAUACUACAGUGC